AGUUUAAUCACAUGGGUUUGAACUUGGGCCCCUUCGCGAAUGGCGAAAGCGUUACUGCAAGCCUGUAACACAAAGGUGAGAGUAUGUUUAUUAGGCGCCGCCACAAAACUUCGGCACAUGUGUGAGUAAAGAGAAAUGGAGUGGCGAGGUAAGUCCCCUUUUACGAAGCAGCGUAUCAUGUUAUUGGUGGCAAAAACAGUUGGAUGAGAAAUAGAAUUAUAAAUCGAUAGGGCGUAAUCAGAGGGAAGUGAAGAGGAAGAAAUGGCAAGAAAAGCGAGGAGGUGAGAGGUGAUGCGUCCAUCGUUAGCAAGGCCAAGGACGAGAAUGCGGGCAUGAGCUUGCUUAAUUUGGGUGAUCCCAGGUGUUGGAGGAAGAGAAGAAAAAGGCGGAGGUAAGCGAGGGUUAG
rnacentral:lncRNA from 1 species